CAGCAGCCGCGGUAAUACGAAGGUCCCGAGCGUUGUUCGGAAUCACUGGGCGUAAAGGGAGCGUAGGCGGCGUGGUAAGUCAGAUGUGAAAUCCCGGGGCUCAACCCCGGAACUGCAUCCGAUACUGCCGUGCUAGAGGAUUGGAGAGGUAGCUGGAAUUCUUGGUGUAGCAGUGAAAUGCGUGGAUAUCAAGAGGAACACUCGUGGCGAAAGCGAGCUACUGGACAACUCCUGACGCUGAGGCUCGAAGGCCAGGGUAGCGAAAGGGAUUAGAUACCCCUGUAGUCCUGGCAGUAAACGGUGCACGCUUGGUGUGAGGGGAAUCGACCCCCCUUGUGCCGGAGCAAACGCGUUAAGCGUGCCGCCUGGGAAGUACGGUCGCAAGACUAAAACUCAAAGGAAUUGACGG
rnacentral:rRNA from 1 species